AUCUGAAUUUGUAAUAGCUACUGCUCUAUUGCUUACGUUAGCAUGUUCUGUUUUACGACUGAUCUUUAGUAGCACACUUGGUUUUAAUAUAAUACUCUGCGUGGCUUUCUGUUUUAGAGGCUCCAAGCGCAUUUUGUAAGAAUUGAGUCAUACCAAUUCACUAAGUUGUGGUUUUUUGCUAGUAUGGCUUAUCUAACUUUUGAGGCCGCUGGACCCGCAACUUAUGAAAAGAAGUUUUACCCAGCAGCAGUUGUUUAUGUAAACUUUUAAAUAUAUCCAGGAAAAGGAACACGCCGCCCAUGAAAAAGGAAAUGUCAUCCAAGAAAACUGAAAUCCUAACGAUAACCAUCUCUACUCCUGUUUUUUUGAAAAUGUAUUUGGAGAAAAUGAAAGGGUUCAGUUGACGAAAGAAUGGCAAGAAUGUAUGGAUUUAGUGUGGAGAUGCAACGGAAAGGCUAAAAGCGUGGACUAGAGAAGUUCAAAAGAAUAUUUAGAUGCAAGUCAUUUUUGCGUUAUUUUUUCUUUUGCAAUUUAUAACUAGCUGAAUUGGAAUUUUCUUAAAAAUUAAAAUGGAAGAGUUUGGAUAUGUGCAAAAAUUAUAGUUAGAAAAUGUUUGAAAAUUUGAUAUUUAAGUUUGAUACGAUGAAUAAUCUUGGGAUUAGAUUGAUAGUGCUUAUCAUAUCUAUCUAAGAUUAUUCACCGCAGCAAAUUUCAUUGUCAAAAUUUUAAAUAUUUUAUUCACUAAAUUUUUUGCACAUAUCCAAACUUUUCCACUUUAAUUUCUAAGGGAAUUCCAAUUUAACUAGUUAUAAAUUGCUUUAGAAAAAAUAACGAAAAAAAGACUUACGUCUUAGCAUGCUUCUGAACGGGAGGAAGAUUCCCCUCUUUUCUCCAGUUUAUGCUUUUAGCGUUUCCGUUGCGUUUCCACACUGCAUCCAUACAUUCUUGCCACUCUUUCAUCAAUUGAAACUCUUCCAUUUUCUCUAAAUACAUUUUCCUGUAUAAAAGAAACUAAAAUUAUUAAUAAUUUUACUCUCUCAAAUGGUACUGCUUGUUCAAUCUUUUUAUCUUAUUUGGGAUUUCCCCCUUUUCGAAACAACUCAAAUCAAAAGCUCAUUGGCUAUUUUAGGAUUGCUUUCCCUUCGAGGGUUUUUCAAAUUCUGUUAACUUACAGAAAGCCGGAGUAAAGCUAGUUACCUCGUUAGGAAACAACUCAAAUCAAAAGCUCAUUGGCUAUUUUAGGAUUGCUUUCCCUUCGAGGGUUUUUCAAAUUCCGUUAACUUACAGAAAGCCGGAGUAAAGCUAGUUACCUCGUUAGGAUUUCAGUUUUCUUGGGCGGCAUUUUCGUUUUCCUUUUUAGUGGGCGGCGUUUUCGUUUUAAAUAUCAGUUUUUAUAUAAACUUUUAAAUGUUUCAGGAGUAUUUAUCCAAUAAUGGUGGAGACAUUAAAAAAAAUUGGCGAUAAAACCUAAGAAAUGGUGGAGAAAUAUCGAAGGCAUCCGCUACUAGUGGAGACUUGUGCAUCCCUAAAUGAAAUUGAGUGUAGUUGGUUAAUUUUUUUUCAUUUUUUCUCGUUUACGUUUUCUCUUUGCUUUUGUAGUUUCUUCCUUCGCUUGAAUGUUUAUUGAAGAAUGAAUUGUCAAUCUUUGUAACGUAAUUUAUCUCAACUUUCCUUUGGAUUAUAUGUGUUACAUAUUUAGUUUUCCUCACCUUUGCACUAUUAAGGGUGUUUUACGUGUUCGGAUUCUGUUUUGAUGGUUACCAUUGACUAUGGUAGUGUAUCGAGGAAUCUCCUGUUCUUAGAAAGUGCAA